AGAUCAAUAAAGACUCUCAUACUUGUACUCCUUGAAAAAAUGAGGAAAAUGAGUGAAAACUCAAAGCCAUCAUCCUUGCUGAACUGAGGUCC
ensembl:snoRNA SNORD116 Small nucleolar RNA SNORD116